GACGAACGCUGGCGGCGUGCUUAACACAUGCAAGUCGAACGGAAAGGCCCUGCUUUUGUGGGGUGCUCGAGUGGCGAACGGGGGAGUAACACGUGUGUAUCCUGUCCUUGUCUGUGGGGUAACUUCAGGGAACUGGGGCGAAUAUCGGGUAGGAUCUCCUGCUGCAUGGUGGGGGAUGGAAAGUUUCGGCGGUUGGGUAUGGACUCGAGGCUUAUGAGCUUGUUUGUGGGGUAGUGGCUUACCAGGGCUUUGACGGGUAGCCGGCCUGAGAGCGUGACCGGCCACCUUGGGACUGAGAUACGGCCCAGACUCCUACGGGAGGCAGCAGUCGGGAAUAUUGCACAAUGGGCGGAAGCCUGAUGCAGCGACGCCGCGUGCGGGAUGACGGCCUUCGGGUUGUAAACCGCUUUCGCCUGUGACGAAGCGUGAGUGACGGUAAUGGGUAAAGAAGCACCGGCUAACUACGUG
rnacentral:rRNA from 1 species